CCCGCCGCCGGCCCAGGCCCGAGCGAUCCCGGGCACCCCCUGCUCGGGCCGGCAGCAUGCCCCGCGGGCGAGCCUGGACGCAGGCGGAGGUCAGCAGCCUCCUGUCGCUGGUGGAGGGCUCGGGGGAGGCCGCACUGCUCAUGGCCUCCACGUCGCGACCCAACGAGGCGCUCUGGCGGGAGAUCUCCGGGGGUCUGGCGGAGGCCGGCUACGGGAGCAGCGUGGCCCAGUGCCGCUCCAAGUGGAAGGCGCUCAAGCAGGCUUUCCACUCGGAGCGGGAGACGCGCCGCAAGGCAGGACGUCACUCGCCCCGGCUGCCGCCGCACUACCGAGCCAUGAAGGCUAUCUGGAAGGCGGCCGGGCGGCCCGUGUUUGGUGAACGGAGGCUGCCAGGUGUGGUGAAGCUGCCCUCCAGAAAGCGCAGGUCAGCCCUUGCCACACGCUCUCCAUUCUCACCAAAGACACCAGAGCACAACGUUGGCGAGGACACCUUCAGCACACUGCUGUCACACAUGCUGCAGUGUGCGAAGGACCAGCCAGAGAGUCUCCUAGUCUGUUGUGUAGCGUUGCUGCGUGCUGCUCCGCCGCUGCUGCCUUCCAGCCCAGAGGUGGCUGCAUUGCAGUGGUGGCUAGUGGGGAACACAUUGCUGGAGUGCCACCCACACCCCCUGCCAUGCCACGUAAGGCUUUCCUUGCCCUGCUCAGCCCAGUACACCCUCUCAGCCCCACAAGCAGGGUCUGGCUGUCAGACUGACCUGAAGCAGGAAGGAGCUGAGGGAAAGGCCAGUUUUCCUGGUGAGACAUCCCUGGGGAUGGGAAGAACAUACGAAGUGCUGCCAUUGGCUGCUGCAGCCAUAGGCUCCCAUGAGACAGCAGCCAUGAGUGAGCAGCCAGCAGCAGGUGAAGAUGCAUCAGACACAAGCCUGCAUGGGUCUGGUGUGGCAGGCUUGCUCCAGAAUGUGCAGCAACUACUGGUGCAGAUCCUGCAGACAUCACGGCAGCAGCAGGCACUACUGGAGAGCUUGGCCAGCGACACAGUCUCCCACCUCCACCGUAUCUCCCACAGCCUUGUGCAGGUGGGCGAGACCCUGCACCAACUCCUGCUCCAACCACAUCCUCACCCUAUUGGCCACUAUGUCCCCCACAUGCCCCUUUUUGAGGGUGGCUCCAGAGUACCCUGCUCCUCUGGUGCUCCCCACAUUUCCCCAGACCACAAAGAGGAGCCUCAGCUGUCCCCUGAUGCCAGGUGCAUCCCACCCUAAGUGCCACCAUCACUGGCCCCACGAGCAACAGCUUUGCUAUAGAGCUUGGCACAAAUCUUUAUGUCAGAGGUUCCAGAUAUUUUGAAAGUUUAUACUAGAGAGACAUUUUGAUGAAAUUAAAAAUAGCUUUUCUACCAGUGAUGGCA
rnacentral:lncRNA from 1 species